ensembl:snoRNA
AGGUCAUUUCAAAGAGGACUUGUGGGACCAUAACCAGGAACGCUUAAUGCUGUGACCAAAUAUCACAGUUCUUCAUAGGAUGUAAUACUGCUAUGUUUCCCUGAGGAGACGUAAGA